rnacentral:lncRNA from 1 species
GUUUGGCCUUUUCUUCAGCACUGGGAAUUGUGAUCCAAAGCUUUUCCUGAUGAAGCACAAAGUUGGAGAAAAAAAAGCAAACUAAACAACAACAAUGAAACAGAACAGAGUUAAUCUGCUGUAGCUCAAGAGAGGACGUAGCUGCCCCCACUCCGCAUCCCUGGGCUCGGGUUUGCCUUGCUGACCUCUGCUGCCACCUGGUGCCACACAGAGAAACUGAGGAGAAACCACAUCAGUCUCCUUCAGCCUCAGCUUCACAUCUGUGGGUCAAGUAACCCUUUCAGAAGCUGAAUAAUGUGGGAAAGCUUUCCUCUCAGGAAAAUGCACACAUCCAACUUUGAGAAGAUGCCCUUGGGGGUGCUUCAAGGAUCCUAGAUAAAGAACCCCCUUUCCCGAACAUCCAAGAACCUAAGUUUUUUUUUUUUUUUUUGAGAAAGUCUCGCUCUCUCUCCCAGUCUGGAGUGCAGUGGCGUGAUCUUGGCUCACUGCAAGCUCCACCUCCCAGGUUCACGCCAUUCUCCUGCCUCAGCCUCCCGAGUAGCUGGGGCUACAGGCACCUGCCACCAAACCCGGCUAAUUUUUUUGUAUUUUUAGUAGAGACGGGGUUUCACCGUGUUAGCCAGGAUCGUCUUGAUCUCCUGACCUUGUGAUCCACCCGCCUCGGCCUCCCAAAUUGCUGGGAUUACAGAUGUGAGCCACCGCACCUGGUCCAAGAACCCAAGUUUUAGAUCUAGAGUGAUGUCAGCAUGACAUUGAUUUCCUGAGGCCCAGGGGCGAAGGAGCUGAGGACAGCAGAGGGGUGAAGGAACUCAGCUACAGACAGCAGCAGCUGAUGCACAGGGCUCCCAGCGCCUGAAGUCACCCGGAAUUGGGAAGUGCUCAGAAGCUUACAAAGCUGCCUCGAGGUGGGAACAUGACAUAAAUCCAAGAGCAGAUCCCUGAUCCUAUAAAAAUGUACUAGAUGCAGUGGGGGCAUUUUAAAUGAGCAGAGAAGGACAGACAGAUAAAC